UACGGGGGGGGGCAAGCGUUGUUCGGAAUUACUGGGCGUAAAGGGCUCGUAGGUGGCCAACUAAGUCAGACGUGAAAAUCCCUCGGCUUAACCGGGGAACUGCGUCUGAUACUGGAUGGCUGGAGUAUGGGAGAGGAAUGCGGAAUUCCAGGUGUAGCGGUGAAAAUGCGUAGAUAUCUGGAGGAACACCGGUGGCGAAGGCGGCAUUCUGGACCAUUACUGACGCUGAGGAGCGAAAAGCCAGGGGGAGCAAAACGGG
rnacentral:rRNA from 1 species